UGGUUGAAUGACACUGAUGAAUCGAGAGCGAAGAAGAGAAGAAAAAUGAUUGAUUGAACGACGAACUUUGAACGAGAGUGAGAAAGAGAGGCGAAAGAGAAAGUAGGGUUGAAACUAGAGGAAAAGAGAAUGAAAAUAUGAUAGAGAGAGAUAUUAUUUCAAGUUUCUAAAAACCAGUGAUAAUACAUUAAAAAAAACAUCACAUUAUGACAGGUGCCAAAACUUCUCGUAAUAUGUUUUCAAUUUAUUUACAAUUUUGCCACCGCAUUUAAUAUUAUGACGAAUAUCUAUAACUUUGUUAUAAUAUGUUUUUAACUUAUUUACAAAUUUGCCACCGUGUUACAUAUUAUAAUAGAUAUAUAAAAAUACCGUCAUAAUACAUCUUACUUUUAUUACAAUUUUGUCCCCGG
rnacentral:lncRNA from 1 species